GUCCAGCUGGCUAGCCCCAAAUAGGACGAAACGAGCGUCCUGGAU
rnacentral:hammerhead_ribozyme from 1 species